AGCAGCCGCGGUAAUUCCAGCUCCAAUAGCGUAUAUUAAAGUUGUUGCAGUUAAAAAGCUCGUAGUUGAAUUUCGGGGUCAGUAGGCUGGUCGUGCCACCGGUACGUACUGGUCUCACUGAUUCCUCCUUCCUGAAGAACCGUAAUGCCAUUAAUUUGGUGUUGCGGGGAAACAGGACUGUUACUUUGAAAAAAUUAGAGUGUUUAAAGCAGGCUAACGCUUGAAUACAUUAGCAUGGAAUAAUGAAAUAGGACGAUCGAUCCUAUUUUGUUGGUUUCUAGGAUUGACGUAAUGAUUAAUAGGGAUAGUUGGGGGCAUUAGUAUUCAAUUGUCAGAGGUGAAAUUCUUGGAUUUAUUGAAGACUAACUACUGCGAAAGCAUUUGCCAAGGAUGUUUUCAUUAAUCAAGAACGAAAGUUAGGGGAUCGAAGACGAUCAGAUACCGUCGUAGUCUUAACCAUAAACUAUGCCGACUAGGGAUCGGAUGAUGUAAUUUUAUAAUGACUCAUUCGGCGCCUUAA
rnacentral:rRNA from 1 species